rnacentral:rRNA from 1 species
GGCAGCAGUGGGGAAUCUUCGGCAAUGGGCGAAAGCCUGACCGAGCAACGCCGCGUGAAUGAUGAAGGCCUUCGGGUUGUAAAAUUCUGUUAUAAGGGAAGAACGACUUUAGUAGGAAAUGGCUAGAGUGUGACGGUACCUUAUGAGAAAGCCACGGCUAACUACGUGCCAGCAGCCGCGGUAAUACGUAGGUGGCGAGCGUUAUCCGGAAUUAUUGGGCGUAAAGAGCGCGCAGGUGGUUGAUUAAGUCUGAUGUGAAAGCCCACGGCUUAACCGUGGAGGGUCAUUGGAAACUGGUCGACUUGAGUGCAGAAGAGGGAAGUGGAAUUCCAUGUGUAGCGGUGAAAUGCGUAGAGAUAUGGAGGAACACCAGUGGCGAAGGCGGCUUCCUGGUCUGUAACUGACACUGAGGCGCGAAAGCGUGGGGAGCAAACAGGAUUAGAUACCCUGGUAGUCCACGCCGUAAACGAUGAGUGCUAAGUGU